GUAACUGUUUGCAAUGAAGGCACUGUCACAAACUUUACUAUAGUUACCACCUUUACAAAGAAAAGAACAACAAAGCACAAGCUAACCUAAUAAAACUCAUCUAAGAGACUGUAAUCACUUGACUUUGAGAAUCUUCAAGGAUUUGAUUGGAAGCUGUCUUCCACAAAGAAUUCUUCCUAAACGAGACCAUGCCCAAUUCAACUUUAGAAGAUGCCUAUUAAGUAAUGGGGAAUUCUACGUACUAAGAUUCAGAGCAAAAGAAUGAAACAAUGCAAACAGGACCAAAGAACUCUUUGUCCCAGAGGCUUGUAAAACAAGCUGAAAUCCAGUAGGUUGGAAGCCAUCUCCCCACCUCCCAUCUCUUCCCACAUCAGAUUCCAACAAGAGAAAUUCUCCCUCUGGGAAUUUGUUGCCACCACCAUCUUGCAGCACAGAAAACUCUGGCUCCCUAGUUCUCAUGGAGGUGAGGCCGAAGUAGAAUCAUCAGCUAUCAAGAGCUGUAAUCAAAAUGGAGUUCUGCCAUGGCAGCUUUACAUAUGAGGGAGAAAUUCGUAAGUCAGCCAUUGAAUUUCAGAGGCUGCUUGUACUCUGAUUCAGCAACAUUCUUGUGAUGGGAAACUGCCGCACAGAGAAUUAAGGUGCUCAUUGUGAAAGAACAGAAACCUCAUCAUGUCCAGUGGGUACAAUGGGUCAUCUGCAGUGCACGCACACAGCAGGACACAUACAGCAGGAGCUCAACGGCCAAAAGGUGUGGGGAGGGAAGGCGGGAGAAGAAAAAAUUCAAACCCACACGAUCUGCUGGGGUCUGCAAGAGCACAGUAAAAAAGCACCUCUCCUUACCCUAGUCCUCUUAAAAUACCCUAUCUGAUGAGAUCUUCCCCUUCUUUUAAGAGUCAAACAAAAUGCUGCCAUCUUUGAGAGGCUUUCCUUGAAAACCCUAAACAGGGUUGGCAGUUUCCAUCUGUGUUCCAUUAGCACCCUGUAUUAAUUAUUAUAGCGCUUAUUAAAUCGCUACAGUGUAUUUACAUUUGUUUCCCCAGUAGAUACCUCCUCAAGUAAUGGAAUAUUUUAUUCAUCUUUGUAUUACCAGUACUUCGGACGGUGCUUGGCACAUUCAAGAGUCCAAUAAGUAUCGGUUAACGAAUGACUGUAUGGAUUUCUUCAAAUGUUGAAAGAAACAGAAAAAAUAAAAAUCAAAUGAACAGCUCCCAAAUGAAUUAAUUUGCCAGUCUUGCUACUAAGAAAAUGGGAUUUAAGCAUGAAACCUCAAAGUGGCCUUACCAGUAGAUCUGAAGGCACUGAAUAUCUAAGGUAGACAAAUUCAACAGUGUCCCUUUCCAUCACAUUUUUAAAAAGUUAUAAGGAAUACUCUUUCCUGGGCAUGCAAAAUCCUCAGUAAUGGGUAUGUAUGUUGUAUUUGGCAUUUCUGACGUCUAAAGAAAUAUUUAAGUCAGAUUGAACAUAUAUGCAGGGUUCAGCAAUAUUCAGAAGAAAAACUAUCCGAUUCCUUCAGGGGAAAUAAAGGGUU